rnacentral:rRNA from 1 species
GACGAACGCUGGCGGCGUGCUUAACACAUGCAAGUCGAACGGAAAGGCCCUGCUUUUGUGGGGUGCUCGAGUGGCGAACGGGUGAGUAACACGUGAGUAAACCGCCCUUGACUGUGGGAUAACUUCAGGAAACUGGGGCUAAUACCGGAUAGGAGCUCCUGCAGCACGGGGGGGGUUGGAAAGUUUCGGCGGUUGUGGAUGGACUCGCGGCUUAUCAGCUUGUUGGUGGGGUAGUGGCUUACCAGGGCUUUGACGGGUAGCCGGCCUGAGAGGGUGACCGGCCACAUUGGGACUGAGAUACGGACCAGUCUCCUACGGGCGGCAGCAGUGGGGAAUAUUGCACAACGGGCGGAAGCCUGAUGCAGCAACGCCGCGUGCGGGAUGACGGCCUUCGGGUUGUAAACCGCUGUCGCCUGUGACGAAGCGUGAGUGACGGUAAUGGGUAAAGAAGCAACGGCUAACUACGUG